AGUGAACGCUGGCGGUAGGCCUAACACAUGCAAGUCGAACGGCAGCACAGUAAGAGCUUGCUCUUACGGGUGGCGAGUGGCGGACGGGUGAGGAAUACAUCGGAAUCUACUUUUUCGUGGGGGAUAACGUAGGGAAACUUACGCUAAUACCGCAUACGACCUACGGGUGAAAGCAGGGGAUCUUCGGACCUUGCGCGAUUGAAUGAGUCGAUGUCGGAUUAGCUAGUUGGCGGGGUAAAGGCCCACCAAGGCGACGAUCCGUAGCUGGUCUGAGAGGAUGAUCAGCCACACUGGAACUGAGACACGGUCCAGACUCCUACGGGAGGCAGCAGUGGGGAAUAUUGGACAAUGGGCGCAAGCCUGAUCCAGCCAUACCGCGUGGGUGAAGAAGGCCUUCGGGUUAUAAAGCCCUUUUGUUGGGAAAGAAAAGCAGCAGGUUAAUACCCCGCUGUUCUGACGGUACCCAAAGAAUAAGCACCGGCUAACUUCGUG
rnacentral:rRNA from 1 species